GAGAAGAAAAAGCUAAAGGAGUUCAUCAUUGCCAAACCAGUAUUAUAUAAAAUGCUGAAAGGUAUUCUUUAAGAAGAGGAAGAAGAAGAAAAAGGUAAAGAUAAUAAUUAUGAACAACAGAUACAUAUCAUCAACAGGUAAAUCUAAAAAUCAAAUGAAUAAAAAAUCUGAUGAACA